rnacentral:lncRNA from 1 species
CCCUGCUCCUUACAAAGAAUGUUCUGACUCCGCCGCACAGGUGCCGAGAAGGAACCCCCCAGUCAGUGCAUCUGACCAGCACGCCCCGAAGAUCUCCCGACCUCCAUCCUUAAAUUCCCACCGGUGCCACCUUCCCCCAAACCCAGAAGGCCUCUCGGCAAAAACCUGCACCGUCAUCCUGACCUGUGGGUAAUCAGGAAAUCAAAAACAAACUCGCCUCAUCAGGAAAACGCUGGGCACCUACCUGCCCUGGGAAAUCUGUAUGCAAAUUCAGGCAGAUCUGCAGCCUUUGGCGCUUCCGGCUUGGUCUCAAGCCAGGUCCCGAGCUCCGAUAUUGCGAAGCAAAGCUUCUCACAGCCAGGGCACUCCUCCGUGGUCUCCGUGUAAGUCGCCUGGUCUCUGGCCACACCCAGUGCCUAUGUGCGUGGGGACAUGAAGCCCACAUCAUGCUGUCACUUCACGCUUAGCGUCACUCCACAAGGCCGGCUUGUGUUACGGUGCAAACCACCCCUGACUCUGGGGGGCUCGCUGUGAGCCGCGGUGUCCUUAGCUCGUGCUGAGUGCCCGUCGCGUCCGCUCCAGCCCUGCCCCAGGAGGUGACCCAGGCAGAGUCUAGCGUCAGGGAACACCAGAAGCUGGAAGGGGCAGGGAAGGGGGGAGCUUCGGAGCGGGGUGCAGCCCUGUGACACCCUGAUUGCUGACUUCGGGCUUCCAGAACUGUGAGAAA